rnacentral:rRNA from 1 species
AGCGAACGCUGGCGGCAGGCUUAACACAUGCAAGUCGAGCGGGCCCUUCGGGGUCAGCGGCAGACGGGUGAGUAACACGUGGGAACGUACCCUUUGGUUCGGAAUAACGCUGGGAAACUAGCGCUAAUACCGGAUACGCCCUUUUGAGGAAAGGCUUGCUGCCGAAGGAUCGGCCCGCGUCUGAUUAGCUAGUUGGUGGGGUAAUGGCCUACCAAGGCGACGAUCAGUAGCUGGUCUGAGAGGAUGAUCAGCCACACUGGGACUGAGACACGGCCCAGACUCCUACGGGAGGCAGCAGUGGGGAAUAUUGGACAAUGGGCGCAAGCCUGAUCCAGCCAUGCCGCGUGAGUGAUGAAGGCCUUAGGGUUGUAAAGCUCUUUUGUCCGGGACGAUAAUGACGGUACCGGAAGAAUAAGCCCCGGCUAACUUCGUG